rnacentral:lncRNA from 8 species
UCCCCCCGCUUCUGUGUCGCCGAAGGAACCAGACCGUGGAACAGCGCCGGAGGCUCUGAACUGCUGACCGCCGCUGAAGACUCUGGGCUGCAGGCCGCCACUGAAGACUCUGGGCUGCGGACCGUCGCUGAAGACUCGGGGCUGUGGACCGUCGCUGAAGACUCGGGGCUGCGGACCGUCGCUGAAGACUCGGGGCUGCGGACCGUCGCUGAAGACUCGGGGCUGAGGACCGUCGCUGGAGGCUCCGGGCUGAGGAGCGUCGCUGGAGGCUCCGGGCUGAGGAGUGUCGCUAGAGGCUCCGGGCUGAGGAGCGUCGCUAGAGGCUCCGGGCUGAGGAGCGUCGCUAGAGGCUCCGGGCUGAGGAGUGUCGCUGGAUGCUCCAGACUGAAGAGCGUCGAUGGAGGCUCCGGACUGGAGAGCGUCGCUGGAGGCUCCGGACUGGAGAGCGUCUCUGUAGGUUCCGGACUGGGGACCUUCCCUGCAGGCUCCGUGCCAUGGAUCAUUACUACUGGUUCCGCGCCAUGGAUCAUCACUGGAGGCUUUGUGCCAUGGAUCAUCACUGGAGGCUCCGGGCCAUGGAUUAUCACUGGAGGCUUCGUGCCAUGGAUCAUCCCUACAGGCUCCAGGCCAUGGAUCAUCACUGGAGGCUUCGUGCCAUGGAUCAAUCAUCCCUACAGGCUCCAGGCCAUGGAUCAUCACUGGAGGCUUCGUGCCAUGGAUUAUCACUACAGGCUCCGGGCCAUGGAUCAUCACUGGAGGCUUCGUGCCAUGGAUUAUCACUGGAGGAUUCGGACCAUUGAUCAUCACUGGAGGCUUCCUACAGGGAGCUGGAACCGGUCUCACCAGACUGGGGAGAUGCACAGGAGACUGGGUGCGCAGAGCAGGCACAGGGCACACUGGGCCGUGGAGGCGCACCGGAGGUCUGGAGCUCAGGGCUGGCACACCCUGUCCUGGCUGGAUGGUAACUGUAGCCCAGCAAGGGCGGGGCGCUGGUACAGGACGAACAGGUUUGUGCUGAUGAAUGGGGGAUACCGUACGUAG